rnacentral:rRNA from 1 species
CAUAGCGACUAUCGUGGCAUAUCAAUAAGCGGAGGAAAAGAAACUAACAAGGAUUCCCUAGUAACGGCGAGUGAAGCGGGAAGAGCUCAAAUUUGAAAUCUUCAAGGUUCUACCUUGACGAAUUGUAGUUUAAAGAAGUGUUUUCUGUUAGAGAGUUUGGUAAAAGUUCUUUGGAAUAGGACAUCAUAGAGGGUGAGAAUCCCGUAUUUGAUCACUUUCUACUAACGUUGUGAUACACUUUCAAAGAGUCGGAUUGUUUGGGAAUGCAGUCCAAAAUGGGUGGUAAAUUUCAUCUAAAGCUAAAUAUUGGCGAGAGACCGAUAGCGAACAAGUACCGUGAGGGAAAGAUGAAAAGAACUUUGAAAAGAGAGUUAAACAGUACGUGAAAUUGUCAAAAGGGAAGCGUUUGACACCAGUGUUGUUUUUCCGAAAAUCAAUUAUGAAUGGCUUGAUUUUAAGUUUCAUGACCUUAAAAGCUUGUUUCUUAUUUUUCAUGUCUUUCGUAAUGCACUUUUCGGUUAACAAGUCAACAUCAAUUUCUUUUGUUGUAAAAGGUUAAGAGGAAGGUGGCUUUACUUUCGGGUAAAGUGUUUAUAGCCUUUUAACUCUGCAAUCGGAGAGAUUGAGGUCUGCAGCGUAGAUCCUUCGGGGUUAGAUACAUUUGUGCUAAGUUAUAGCUUUUCAUAGACAACUUGUUGACUAUGAUCAGUCAUGUAGCUUACUCGCUUAUGUCAUUUUACCUACGCUUAGGAUGUUGAAGAUAUGCGCGACACG